rnacentral:rRNA from 1 species
AUGAUAUCAGCACAAGUUCUUUCUCUAGCAGAGGGCAAAGAGUGGUUGGUUUCUUCGGUGUAUGGGCCGCAAGAAGACACAGACAAAGCAAGAUUCCUUGAGGCAAUUGUGCAGUUUGGAGACCGCGUGAGCUUGCCGUGGAUCCUGAAUGGAGAUUUCAACAUUGUGUGCAACCCAGAGGAGCGCAGCACUGGGAGAGUGAACAGGAGGCUGAUGAAUAAGCUUCAGCACACGAUCAACAGGUUGGGGCUCCACGACAUGCCUCUGAUUGGGCGUCGCUUCUCUUGGUGCAAUCAACAGGAGAACGCCAUCUUGGCAAGGCUGGACCGUGUGCUC